rnacentral:tRNA from 1 species
GUGGGGUUGUGGCUUAGUGGUAGAGUGCUUGCCUAGCAUGAGUGAGGCACUGGGUUCGAUUCUCAGCACCACA